UAAUGUCAGUACUGGUCACAAUGCCAAGUUCAACUAUCUCCUUUGCCUGCAUGUGAUCCAUUUACCUCCAUUCCCUGCAUUUACCUAUCUAACAACCCCUUAAACGCCACUGUGGUAUCUGGCUCCACCAUCACCUCUGGAAGCACGAUUCAGGCACCCACAACCUGCUGUGUCUCCCCUCAGCCUCCGACUCUCCAGAGAAAAGAAUCCAAGUUCUAUGUGAACUCUAGGAGCUAGUACAGCACUAAUAACUACCGUCUUGUGUGGUGGAAAAGACUGAAGAGCAAACGCUCGCAUGGAAGUGGUGAUAGACUCGAGGCACUCAUCAUAUGAAGAAUUUGCAGAAUAAAUAAUUCAGCUGCUGGUCCACAGA